rnacentral:rRNA from 1 species
GGUACCUGGCGGCGUGCCUAACACAUGCAAGUCGAGCGAUCUCUUCGGAGAGAGCGGCGGACGGGUGAGUAACGCGUGGGUAACCUGCCCUGUACACACGGAUAACAUACCGAAAGGUAUACUAAUACGGGAUAACAUACGAAAGUCGCAUGGCUUUUGUAUCAAAGCUCCGGCGGUACAGGAUGGACCCGCGUCUGAUUAGCUAGUUGGUAAGGUAAUGGCUUACCAAGGCAACGAUCAGUAGCCGACCUGAGAGGGUGAUCGGCCACACUGGAACUGAGACACGGUCCAGACUCCUACGGGAGGCAGCAGUGGGGAAUAUUGCACAAUGGGCGAAGCCUGAUGCAGCAACGCCGCGUGAGCGAUGAAGGCCUUCGGGUCGUAAAGCUCUGUCCUCAAGGAAGAUAAUGACGGUACUUGAGGAGGAAGCCCCGGCUAACUACGUGCCAGCAGCCGCGGUAAUACGUAGGGGGCUAGCGUUAUCCGGAAUUACUGGGCGUAAAGGGUGCGUAGGUGGUUUUUUAAGUCAGAAGUGAAAGGCUACGGCUCAACCGUAGUAAGCUUUUGAAACUAGAGAACUUGAGUGCAGGAGAGGAGAGUAGAAUUCCUAGUGUAGCGGUGAAAUGCGUAGAUAUUAGGAGGAAUACCAGUAGCGAAGGCGGCUCUCUGUGACUGUGACUGACACUGAGGCACGAAAGCUUGGGGAGCAAACAGGUAUUAUAUACCCUGGUUAGUCCACGCCGUAAACAAUGUAUACUUGGUUGUGAGGGGUUCGCCCCUUUGAGUCGCAU